CGCUGCUCCGUUUGGCCGUAAUCUUCGAUUUGGGGUAUAUGCUAAUGAGGUGCUAACUGGCACCGGCCGGGCUAACUGCCACUCUGACGUCAGCAGCGCUGGCCGCAGUGCCGCCCAGCUCAUCAAUAUUUCUCCCCUCUCUCUUCAUUACAGAGUGGGGAGAAGAGCGAGAAACGGGAGGGGAGGAAUAUUGAUGAGCUGGGUGACGCUGCGGACCCACACUGACGUCUGAGUGCCAGUUAGCCCAGCCGGUGCCAGUUAGCACCUCAUUAGCAUAUACAGUCGAAGAUUACGGCUGAACGGCGCGGCGGAUCCGGGUGCUCAUGAAGAAAGGCUUUGUAUUUCAUCAUCUAACAUAUUCCAGCUGCCUCCCUAUUCUUACUACCAGUUCAAAGUGCAUGUACAAAAUAUUUUGUGAAGGAAUGCUCACAAAUGAAGUAGUAUAAGGGGACAAAAGGCAUAUGUCAAGUCUGCGGAGUGGCAGCUCGUGCUGACAGACUAAGCCCUAAGCUUUGGCAAAAAUUCACGUACAGGGUGAGACAGAGAGGUGGAGGCACGCGCCAAUAAGAUCCUAUAAUAAAAGAUACAGCUAUGUGCGGCAUAU